AGCAGCAGCCGCGGGAAUACGUAGGUGGCAAGCGUUGUCCGGAAUUAUUGGGCGUAAAGGGCUCGCAGGCGGUUUCUUAAGUCUGAUGUGAAAGCCCCCGGCUCAACCGGGGAGGGUCAUUGGAAACUGGGAAACUUGAGUGCAGAAGAGGAGAGUGGAAUUCCACGUGUAGCGGUGAAAUGCGUAGAGAUGUGGAGGAACACCAGUGGCGAAGGCGACUCUCUGGUCUGUAACUGACGCAGAGGAGCGAAAGCGUGGGGAGCGAACAGGAUUAGAUACCCCAGUAGUCCCUGUCUCUUAUAC
rnacentral:rRNA from 1 species